rnacentral:rRNA from 1 species
CUACGGGGUGCAGCAGUGAGGAAUAUUGCACAAUGGGGGGAACCCUGAUGCAGCAACGCCGCGUGGAGGAUGACGCAUUUCGGUGUGUAAACUCCUUUUAUAUGUCAAGAAAAUGACGGUAGCAUAUGAAUAAGCACCGGCUAACUCCGUGCCAGCAGCCGCGGUAAUACGGAGGGUGGCAAGCGUUACUCGGAAUCACUGGGCGUAAAGGACGCGUAGGCGGGUUGGAAAGUCAGGUGUGAAAUCCUACAGCUUAACUGUAGAACUGCACUUGAAACUUCUAAUCUAGAGUAUGGGAGGGGGAGAUGGAAUUAGAGGUGUAGGGGUAAAAUCCGUAGAUAUCACUAGGAAUACCUAAAGCGAAGGCGAUCUCCUGGAACAUUACUGACGCUAAGGCGUGAAAGCGUGGGGAGCAAACAGGAUUAGAUACCCCCGUAGUC